AGAGUUUGAUCCUGGCUCAGGACGAACGCUGGCGGCGUGCCUAACACAUGCAAGUCGAGCGGGGGGGAGUUCUUCGGAACGAACCUAGCGGCGGACGGGUGAGUAACACGUGGGCAACCUGCCUUGAGGAGGGGGAUAACAGGAUGAAAGUCCUGCUAAUACCGCAUAACCCGGUGCUGUCGCAUGAUGGCAUCGGCAAAGGAGCAAUCCGCCUCAAGAUGGGCCCGCGGCGCAUUAGCUGGUUGGUGAGGUAACGGCUCACCAAGGCGACGAUGCGUAGCCGACCUGAGAGGGUGAUCGGCCACAUUGGAACUGAGACACGGUCCAGACUCCUACGGGAGGCAGCAGUGGGGAAUAUUGCACAAUGGGGGAAACCCUGAUGCAGCAACGCCGCGUGAGCGAUGAAGGCCUUCGGGUUGUAAAGCUCUGUCUUCGCUGACGAAAUUUGACGGUAAGCGAGGAGGAAGCCACGGCUAACUACGUGCCAGCAGCCGCGGUAAUACGUAGGUGGCAAGCGUUGUCCGGAAUUACUGGGCGUAAAGGGUGCGUAGGCGGUCCUUUAAGUGGGAUGUGAAAUCCCUGGGCUUAACCCAGGAACUGCAUUCCAAACUGGAGGACUAGAGUGCAGGAGAGGAAAGCGGUAUUCCCAGUGUAGCGGUGAAAUGCGUAGAGAUUGGGAGGAACACCAGUAGCGAAGGCGGCUUUCUGGAAUGUAACUGACGCUGAGGCACGAAAGCGUGGGGAGCAAACAGGAUUAGAUACUCUGGUAGUCCACGCCGUAAACGAUGAGUACUAGGUGUGAGGGCGUAAGCCUUCGUGCCGUAGUUAACACAUUAAGUACUCCGCCUGGGAAGUACGAUCGCAAGAUUAAAACUCAAAGGAAUUGACGG
rnacentral:rRNA from 1 species